GGGUCGUUAGCUCAGUUGGUUAGAGCAGAGGACUCAUAAUCCUUUGGUCCGCGGUUCAAGUCCGCGACGACCCACCA
rnacentral:tRNA from 4 species